AACCGAAUAGUUUAAAAAAAACACCACUCUUGUAAAGUGAAAAUGAUAUUUUCUUCGGACA
rnacentral:tRNA from 1 species